UGUGCUAUAGAGAAAUACAGUCAUCCCUAAUGAAUAUUAAAGAUCUGCAGUGGGUUUUGUGAUGGUUUUUCUCUCUUUUGCGCUUAUAUAAGCAUUUUUCCUAUUUCUGUUUCAACACAACUGCGAGUGGAAUACAGCAACUCAUACCUAAUGAUUAUGUGUAUUUUUUACUUGUGUUGUUAGCGCCCAUGUCUGCCAUUACAUAUUUUAUAUGCUUCAUUGUAUUGCAUUUAUACCCAGAAGUAACAUUAGGGGAAUUCUUAAUUGUUGAAAAUCACUCAAUGCAUUAACAUUAUUUAAGGCUUGACUUCUAAGAUUGUUUAAGAUGAAAACACCAGUUUAGUGCAAGAUAGCAAAGAUAUUCACAAUGCUCAUAAUAGGGCUCAUAAUGAUGGUAUUCCCUACUUAAGGUUCUAUAACAUAAAUGAUAUAGUAGAACAGACUCGUCUAACCCCUGAUCAAAAAAGGGUUAUACAACAGUAGUAUUUUAAAAAUUACUGAACACAAGAGAAAAUUACUAUCACUGCAUUAAGCGCAGGCUACAUUAUGUUAAAAAAGCUUCUACAAUCAGCUAUCAGCUACCAGAAUGAAUACACUGAAACAUUUGAAUGAUGUUUUCAUGCACACUGUUUAUCUUUGUUUUUAUUUCUUUCUACUAAAACAAUAAAAUUUUAUACAAUUGCUUAGCUGUAAAAAAUAGUUAUAAUUUAGUUAUAAU